rnacentral:misc_RNA from 1 species
GAUGAAGAACGCAGCGAAAUGCGAUAAGUAAUGUGAAUUGCAGAAUUCAGUGAAUCAUCGAAUCUUUGAACGCACAUUGCGCCCCCUGGUAUUCCGGGGGGCAUGCCUGUCCGAGCGUCAUUGCUGCCCUCAAGCCCGGCUUGUGUGUUGGGUCUCGUCCCCCUUCCCGGGGGGACGGGCCCGAAAGGCAGCGGCGGCACCGCGUCCGGUCCUCGAGCGUAUGGGGCUUUGUCACCCGCUCUGUAGGCCCGGCCGGCGCUUGCCGAUCAACCAAAACUUUUUUCCAGGUUGAACUCGGAUCAGGUAGGGAUACCCGCUGAACUUAAGCAUAUCAAUAAGCGGAGGA